CCGCGGACGCGCGCGCGCGCGUGCGCACGCUGCUCCGAUCGGCUCGCCCCCGCCGCCGGCCGUCCCCACACGGAUCGGGGCUCCGGCGCAGAAAUAGGAGCAGAGCCCGCGCGGCAGGACCAUUGGGGCCAUCCGGCCAUGGCCCUCCGUCCUCAUCAUCCCGCGCCCUGGGACCCCUCGCCCUCGCCCAUGGUCCCUCCACCACCCUCUCUCUCUCUCCCUGGUGUGUACGACACGCCGGGGAAAGGACGGCGGCUUUAGUGCUCUCUCUCUCUCUCUCUCUCGCUCGCUCUCUCUCUCUCUCUGCGCGAAGCCAUGGGUCAAACACGUCGCCUCCUUUUCCCCUUCCCCGCGUCGGCAAUGGUGAAAGCGGGGGGUUGCUUGCCCUAGGAGGCGAACAGCCUUGGGAUCGCAACGCAACUAGUGGGGCAGGUGCUGCAGCUACCACCAGUACCAGUAGUGGAAUUGGAGUGCCGCCAUGGGCAAACACCUCAGCUCAGAAACGGUAGGUGGCCGGGCCUCUAGGAGCUGCGAGUUUUCGGCAUCCAUCCAUUCCUCUGCCAGUGCCUCUGAGGGCUGUUCUUCUGUGCAAUGCAAGCCUACUUUCCUUUUGAGCCUAGCUUUUCUGGAGUCGGCCGGCGACGGAAAGGAAAUGAAGGGCUGGCUGGCUCUACGCGUCCAUGGCAAAGAUGGGAGGUUUUCAGUUCGUCAGGGUAUGAUGGUUCGAGGAAAAAAAAGGAAUUCAUCGGACCCACGUACCCUUGGGAGAAAGGGAAUGAUGGUGCUAGUAUUUGCUGCAGCUAGGGUUCUUUCUGCAGGUCACUAGAACCAUAGUGGCGGUAGUGAUGGCUGUCAACUCCAUCACAGGAAAAGCCCCUUCCUUCUCGAUUCUUGCUUAUCUUUAAGCUUCAUAUCUCCAGAUUUCUUCCUUACCGGUGAAGCCAAUAUAUCUAUCACCCAUAGGAAUUUUUUUAUUUAAUUGCACAAUCUUUGAUCGGUAGUACUAGUGCAUCAAUGUAUUGCGACUCCAUGGCCUGCUAACAUGUACUAAAUACUGUAUCUUUAUUUUGGAUAAAAAAAUAUCAUCUUUAUUUUCUAGCAA